ACGGAAGGCAGCAGUGGGGGAUAUUGCACAAUGGGGGAAACCCUGAUGCAGCGACGCCGCGUGAGUGAAGAAGUAUUUCGGUAUGUAAAGCUCUAUCAGCAGGAAAGAUAAUGACGGUACCUGACUAAGAAGCACCGGCUAAAUACGUGCCAGCAGCCGCGGUAAUACGUAUGGUGCAAGCGUUAUCCGGAUUUACUGGGUGUAAAGGGAGCGUAGGCGGCGAUGCAAGUCAGAUGUGAAAACCCGGGGCUCAACCCCGUGGACUGCAUUUGAAACUGUAUUGCUAGAGUAUCGGAGAGGUUAGUGGAAUUCCUAGUGUAGCGGUGAAAUGCGUAGAUAUUAGGAAGAACACCGGUGGCGAAGGCGGCUAACUGGACGAAAAUUGACGCUGAGGCUCGAAAGCGUGGGGAGCAAACAGGAUUAGAUACCCUGGUA
rnacentral:rRNA from 1 species